GGGGUUGUGGCUCAGUGGUAGAGUGCUUGCCCAACAUGCAUGAGGCACUGGGUUUGAUCCUCAACACCA
rnacentral:tRNA from 1 species